AGAAGAAAGAAAUGGCAGUGGCUUCUAUUCUGAAGCUUUUAAAUUCAUUCAUGCUAUAAAGUAACAAAUCAACAAAAAGAAGAAGAGCUUAGAGAGAUUAGAGAGUUAUUACUCUACCGAAAAGGUUCUCUCUUCAGCUUCAGCCUCAGCCUCAGCCUCUGCUCCUUUGGCUUCUCCUCACGUUGAGGUUUGCAAAGGCAUCAAUGGCCUCGACAGCUCCGCCGAGACUUCUACACAUGGUUUGGGGAGCUUUUCUCCGAGUAGGACUGCUCCUCGUCCUUCUAGUAAUGUUGAUGGUCCUUAUGCUUCUUUUGCGGAGAGAUAUCCCUAUUUUCCACCAUGGAAAUAUAAAGUGAUGAAUCCUGAUGGAUUUUUAGCUUUGUGAAGUUGGACCGGCCUAAAUAUGCACAAAAUGUACCUUGGAGUGGCCCGAUUGAUGUUGAUCUUGUGGAAGAAUGUAUGAGGAUGAUUGCAGCUUUGCAAAGAGUUGCACGUGACCAAUCUUUUCAACACUCGAUAAAAGAAAUUUUACUGACCAUUAGACUAGCAAUUGCUAAUGCUCGUAUAAGAAGUUUGGAAGAAAGAAUCAGAGACUUUGAGUUUCAUGAAGGGCAACCAGGACCUCAAAUUCAUGCAAAUCAGGAACCGCAAGGUCAUGAAGAAGCUGGCUCUUCCAGGGGUGGCCCCAGGAGAUCUUCCCGUCGAAGAACUCGUGGCCCAAAUGAUGCUUGAUUGUAUUCCCCCUUUAUUCUCCAGCACAUGACAAAACAUUUCUUAGUUAGUUAACUUGUAUUAACUUUCAAAGUGAACUCCUUCAUCUUUGCUGAACUCAGUCUUGUAGAACUUUAGAAAAAGUUUAGAGUUUACCUGAUAGGACUUUGUUAUGCAAAAUUUUACACUUA